rnacentral:rRNA from 1 species
UACGAGAGGCCCAAACGUUAUUCGGAUUUACUGGGCUUAAAGGGUGCGUAGGCGGCUUUGUAAGUCAGUGGUGAAAUAUGGCAGCUCAACUGUCAGGGUGCCAUUGAUACUGCGGAGCUUGAGUACAGAUGAGGUAGGCGGAAUUGACGGUGUAGCGGUGAAAUGCUUAGAUAUCGUCAAGAACACCGAUAGCGAAGGCAGCUUACUGGGCUGUAACUGACGCUGAGGCACGAAAGUGUGGGGAUCAAACAGG